AUUGAACGCUGGCGGCAGGCUUAACACAUGCAAGUCGAGCGGGGUGAUGGUGCUUGCACUAUCACUUAGCGGCGGACGGGUGAGUAAUGCUUAGGAAUCUGCCUAUUAGUGGGGGACAACAUCUCGAAAGGGAUGCUAAUACCGCAUACGUCCUACGGGAGAAAGCAGGGGAUCACUUGUGACCUUGCGCUAAUAGAUGAGCCUAAGUCGGAUUAGCUAGUUGGUGGGGUAAAGGCCUACCAAGGCGACGAUCUGUAGCGGGUCUGAGAGGAUGAUCCGCCACACUGGGACUGAGACACGGCCCAGACUCCUACGGGAGGCAGCAGUGGGGAAUAUUGGACAAUGGGGGGAACCCUGAUCCAGCCAUGCCGCGUGUGUGAAGAAGGCCUUAUGGUUGUAAAGCACUUUAAGCGAGGAGGAGGCUCUUUUGGUUAAUACCCAAGAUGAGUGGACAUUACUCGCAGAAUAAGCACCGGCUGACUCUGUGCCAGCAGCCGCAGUAA
rnacentral:rRNA from 1 species